AGGAUAAACGCUGGCGGCGUGCAUGAGACAUGCAAGUCGAACGGACGAUCAGGGCUUGCUCUGAUCGUUAGUGGCGGACGGCUGAGUAACGCGUAGGUGACCUGCCCCGAAGUGGGGAAUAACUGCCCGAAAGGGUGGCUAAUACCGCAUGUGGUGGUGCCUUCACUGGCAUCAGUAAAGCCGCAAGGCGCUUCGGGAGGGGCCUGCGUCCGAUUAGCUCGUUGGUGGGGUAACGGCUCACCAAGGCGACGAUCGGUAGGUGGUCUGAGAGGACGAUCACCCAGACUGGGACUGAGACACGGCCCAGACUCCUACGGGAGGCAGCAGUCGGGAAUUUUGCGCAAUGGACGAAAGUCUGACGCAGCAACGCCGCGUGAGGGAUGACGGCCUUCGGGUUGUAAACCUCUUUUGUCAGGGACGAUGAUGACGGUACCUGACGAAUAAGUCACGGCUAACUACGUGCCAGCAGCCGC
rnacentral:rRNA from 1 species